rnacentral:rRNA from 1 species
GAUGAACGCUGGCGGCGUGCUUAACACAUGCAAGUCGAACGAAGCACCUUGAUUUGAUUCUUCGGAUGAAGAUCUUGGUGACUGAGUGGCGGACGGGUGAGUAACGCGUGGGUAACCUGCCUCAUACAGGGGGAUAACAGUUAGAAAUGACUGCUAAUACCGCAUAAGACCACAGCACCGCAUGGUGCAGGGGUAAAAACUCCGGUGGUAUGAGAUGGACCCGCGUCUGAUUAGGUAGUUGGUGGGGUAACGGCCUACCAAGCCGACGAUCAGUAGCCGACCUGAGAGGGUGACCGGCCACAUUGGGACUGAGACACGGCCCAAACUCCUACGGGAGGCAGCAGUGGGGAAUAUUGCACAAUGGGGGAAACCCUGAUGCAGCGACGCCGCGUGAGCGAUGAAGUAUUUCGGUAUGUAAAGCUCUAUCAGCAGGGAAGAAAAUGACGGUACCUGACUAAGAAGCACCGGCUAAAUACGUGCCAGCCGCCGCUGUAAGAC